rnacentral:lncRNA from 1 species
CCCACUUUGGAGCAGCAGGGAUAGUGACGCUGCUCACGGCUCUUCACACCUACAUUCUACCCUCUGGACAACAGCCAGCCACUGACCGUCACACAGGCUUUCCUGGAAGAAACUUCCCCCUCCACACUGGGUCUGCUGGCUUCCGACUGUGCUCGAGGAUGUUCUGGGCAGAUCCUCAUGCCUGCUGCCACACUUUAUGGUUUAUUAUCUGGCUACACAUGCAGACCAUAGGACCAUGAGAACAGGACACUGCCUUAUUCUCCUCUGGGUCUGCAGAGUGCCCAAU